CGAACGGGUGAGUAACGCGUGAGGAACCUGCCUCAAAGAGGGGGACAACAGUUGGAAACGACUGCUAGUACCGCAUAAGCCCACGGCUCGGCAUCGAGCAGAGGGAAAAGGAGCAAUCCGCUUUGAGAUGGCCUCGCGUCCGAUUAGCUAGUUGGUGAGGUAACGGCCCACCAAGGCAACGAUCGGUAGCCGGACUGAGAGGUUGAACGGCCACAUUGGGACUGAGACACGGCCCAG
rnacentral:rRNA from 1 species